rnacentral:rRNA from 1 species
GCUCGUGUCGUGAGAUGUUGGUUAAGUCCGUACGAGCGCAACCCUUGUCCUUAGUUACCAGCACGUUAUGGUGGGCACUCUAAGGAGACUGCCGGUGACAAACCGGAGGAAGGUGGGGAUGACGUCAAGUCAUCAUGGCCCUUACGGCCUGGGCUACACACGUGCUACAAUGGUCGGUACAAAGGGUUGCCAAGCCGCGAGGUGGAGCUAAUCCCAUAAAACCGAUCGUAGUCCGGAUCGCAGUCUGCAACUCGACUGCGUGAAGUCGGAAUCGCUAGUAAUCGUGAAUCAGAAUGUCACGGUGAAUACGUUCCCGGGCCUU